rnacentral:rRNA from 1 species
UUUAUUGGAGAGUUUGAUCCUGGCUCAGGAUGAACGCUGGCGGCGUGCCUAAUACAUGCAAGUCGAGCGAAUGGAUUAAGAGCUUGCUCUUAUGAAGUUAGCGGCGGACGGGUGAGUAACACGUGGGUAACCUGCCCAUAAGACUGGGAUAACUCCGGGAAACCGGGGCUAAUACCGGAUAACAUUUUGAACCGCAUGGUUCGAAAUUGAAAGGUGGCUUCGGCUGCCACUUAUGGAUGGACCCGCGUCGCAUUAGCUAGUUGGUGAGGUAACGGCUCACCAAGGCAAUGAUGCGUAGCCGACCUGAGAGGGUGAUCGGCCACACUGGGACUGAGACACGGCCCAGACUCCUACGGGAGGCAGCAGUAGGGAAUCUUCCGCAAUGGACGAAAGUCUGACGGAGCAACGCCGCGUGAGUGAUGAAGGCUUUCGGGUCGUAAAACUCUGUUGUUAGGGAAGAACAAGUGCUAGUUGAAUAAGCUGGCACCUUGACGGUACCUAACC